GCGCGCGUGGCGGAACUGGUAGACGCGCUGGAUUUAGGUUCCAGUAUCGAAAGAUGUGGGGGUUCGACUCCCUCCGCGCGCACCA
rnacentral:tRNA from 1 species